CCUAAGCUCAGGUGAUGAGGAAGAUUUCAGCUUGCUCUCUCACAAUGAGGCAGGAUUUGCUUGGCAGAAAUGUAAGCCAGUGCCCCCCAUCAUCUCCACUUACGUGCUUCUUCUACCACAUCAAAGGGUCAAAUACUCCCAGAAAGUGAAUGCCCCAGCCCUGCCCUGGGCGAGGCUCUGCCCCUGCCGAGGACAUCUGAGGGACUGCAGGAGGAAUCAUCCCAAGAGGUCCCGCUGGCCCAUGGCUCAGCUUUCUGUGUAAAGUAUGCCCCGAUGAUGAAGAAGAAGAAAACCAGCUCAGCCCAGAUUAUUCCAUUAAACACAGCCUCUGGUCACUGGAGAGAAGCGGAAGCACAAAGUCGGGUUCACAGAUCUGUUGCACACAGAGACUGUAUUGAGAGUCGUGUUAAAAAUAUCUGGGUGACUGUAAGCCUGAAACCAUUUUGUGUCUAAAACUGAUUUCCAUUUCCUUUUCCUUUCUUUUGUUUUUGUUCCACUUGUUAUAAAAAGGCCUUUCCACAACCCUCCACCAUGGUGCUCCGCACUCAGCUCUUCUAAGGUGCUUAUAAAAAAUGCUUUUAAUGGUACAACGCGUAGACAUCUUUCAACGUGUCUCUCAAAUCGAGGGCACUUUUUCGUCCAUCCUGGGCUGAUGGAUCACUGGGA
ensembl:lncRNA